UACGGAGGGUGCGAGCGUUUAUCCGGAUUCACUGGGUUUAAAGGGUGCGUAGGUGGGCAGGUAAGUCAGUGGUGAAAUCUCCGGGCUUAACCCGGAAACUGCCAUUGAUACUAUCAGUCUUGAAUACCGUGGAGGUAAGCGGAAUAUGUCAUGUAGCGGUGAAAUGCUUAGAUAUGACAUAGAACACCAAUUGCGAAGGCAGCUUACUACCCGAAUAUUGACACUGAGGCACGAAAGCGUGGGGAUCAAACAGGA
rnacentral:rRNA from 1 species